ACCGCGGCCGCCGCCCGCGCUCCUCCUCCCGCCCGGCGCCGCCGCCGCCGCCGCGCUGCUCACGAGCCUGUUAUUACGCAGGUGAAAAUGGCCUGCCUGGCCCGAGGCUUCCUCGGCACACGGCAGCCCCCGGCCUGCUGAGGGCAGGCCCCGAUUAGGGAUGUGCCAGAUCCGCUUGAGUCUUCCUCUCUUCUGGGGAAGAAUCAAAGAGAGGAUGAGCAGGUGGAAGCAGCCCCCAGCGGGAGCGUGACUGAGCAGGCACGCCGCCCUCGCAACUCGUAAAAAACCCUGAGCCAGAGCCCUGCACAUCAUAAGCUGUGCGCAGUCUAUGUGACCGGAGAAGUUGGACGUUUCAGGAGGCUUGCUGCUGCUUUUCCCCUUUCCCUUUACAGCUCUCUCUGCUUGACAAAUUUGAAGAUUUGUGAACAUAACACACAGUCAACUAUGGAAUUCACAGUUGCACUAUCUGUGGACUUGUGUCUAAGGUCUGACUGAUGGUAUAUGAUUAUUAUAUGAAAAUUCCUCCUCUUUUCUCCCCUCUGCUGGCUGGAAUGCAGUUGUGAUGACUGGAGAAGGAGCAAGCUUCUUAGACCAUGAGAUGACAUUACUAAUAGAGACCACAUAUAUCAGAGCAACAAGAUAAGAAAAGCUGGGUCCCUGACACUAUCUCCCAACUUUGUACAACAAAGAAAUAAACUUUUAUCUUUAUAAAGCCAUUAUUAUUUUGUGUUUUCUCCCCAUGCAGCCAAAGCUAAGUCUAAUAUUCAUCUUAAUUCUAAAUGAAAAAAUUAAAAAUAAUCAUUUACAACUGCAUCAUUGAACAUGAUAGUAACUAUUCAAAGGUGUCUAUUAGCACUUGAAAUGCAGCUUGUCUGAAUUUAGAUGUGCUAUAAGGAUAAAAUAUACACUGGAUUUUGAAGAAUUCAUAUGAAAGAAAGCAUGAAACAGCUCAUCAAUAACUUUUUAUAUCGAUUACAUAUUAAAAUGAAAAUAUUUUUAUAUGUUGAGUUAAAAAUAACAUUAAAAUUGAUUUCCCCUGCACAACAAAUGAAAUUAUCAAUAAAUGAAAAGGCAACCUACUGAGUGGGAGAAAAUGUUUGCAAAUCAAAUAUCUGAUAAGGGGUUAAUCCCCAAAAUAUGUAAAGAACUCAUACAACCAAAUACCAAAAAAACAAUCCAAUUUAAAAAUGGGCAGAAGAUAUGAAUAGACAAUUUUCCAAAGAAGACAUACAGAUAGCUAACAGGCACAUGAAAAAAUGCUCAACAUCACUAAUCAUCAGGGAAAUACAAAUCAAAACCACAGUGAGAUAUCACCUCAUACCUGUUAGAAUGACUACUAUAAAAAAGACAAGAAAUAACAACUGAUGACAAGGACAUGGGGAAAAGAGAACCUUUGUGCACCAUUGGUGGGAAUGUAAAUUGGUGUAAUCAUUAUGGAAAACUGUAUAGAGGUUACUCAAAAAAUUAAAAAUAGAAAUACCAUAUGAUCUAGCAAGUUCCACUUCUGGAUAUUUAUAUGAAGAAAACAAGAACACUAUCUAGAAAAGAUAUAUGCACCCCCAGAUUUAUUGUAACAUUUACAAUAGCCAAGAUAUGGAAACGACCUUAGUGUCCAUCAACAGAUGAAUGGAUAAAGAAAAUGUCAUACACACACACACACAGGAAUAUUAUUCAGCCAUAAAAAUAAUUUUAAAAAAGAAUGAAAUCUUGCCCUGUGUGACAACAUGGAUGGGCCUUGAGGGCAUUAUGCUAAGGGAAGUAAGUCAUAAUUCAGGGAAAGACAAAUACUGUAUGAUUUUACUUAUAAUAUGGAAUGUAAACAAACAAACACCAAGCUCAUAGUUACAGAGAACAGAUUGGUGGUUGCCAGAGGCAGGUGGUCAGAGGUGGGCAAAAUGGGUAAAGGGAGUCAACAGAUACAAACUUCCAGUUAUAGUAUAAGUAAGUCAUGAGAAUAUAAUGUGCACCAUGGCAACUUCAGUUAAUAAUAUUGUAUUACAUAAUUGAAAAUUGCUAAGAGAAUAAAUCUUAAAAGUUCUCAUCACAAGAAAAACAUUCUAUAAAU